AGAAGAAAUGUGAAAUGCUCAUUUCCGGCUACUCACUCAACCUGGGUGUGAUGUGUGCACUCGUUGCUCGGCCCAUCACAACCUCCUUGAGUGAGCGACCGUGGGUGGGACAUCUACAUUAAAAAAUA
rnacentral:precursor_RNA from 12 species